rnacentral:lncRNA from 1 species
GGAUGCAGAGCUUCAUGCCACUUGGGUUAGUAUUGUCUGUGCCCAAGAGGAUGAGAGGAUCACCAUUGAGGAUGACUCUACCACUAUGAUAGGCUGGAUUCGGAGUGAUGUAACACAUCUAGAUGCCCACCCACUCCUUCAUGGCAUUCGGAUCUGCCUUCGAAACUUCAUGAUGGUUUUUGCUCAACAUAUCUUUCAGAAGG